AUUGAUUUGCCCCCUCUUUGAGCAUUUCGGCUUUUGCCGGGUAUCAAUUUUUUGGAUUGAGCCGCUCGACCAACACUAAACACAAACAGGGCAAAU
rnacentral:ncRNA from 1 species